UACGGAGGGUGCAAGCGUUAAUCGGAAUUACUGGGCGUAAAGCGCGCGUAGGCGGUUUAGUCAGUCAGAUGUGAAAGCCCCGGGCUCAACCUGGGAACUGCAUUUGAUACUGCUAAGCUAGAGUAUGGUAGAGGCAAGUGGAAUUCCAGGUGUAGCGGUGAAAUGCGUAGAUAUCUGGAGGAACAUCAGUGGCGAAGGCGACUUGCUGGACCAAUACUGACGCUGAGGUGCGAAAGCGUGGGUAGCAAACAGG
rnacentral:rRNA from 1 species